rnacentral:lncRNA from 1 species
UGUCCCUGUGGCCGUUGGCUGAUGUUGCUGAAAUUCCAGGGCUCUGGAGUGUCCACAUGUCCACGGGAUGGGAAGCCUGUUGCAGACCAGCCACCAUGUCCCUGCGGCUCAGGACCACGAUCCUGAAGCCCAGAGUCCUGCCCUGGGAGCAGGUCUCAGUCAGGACUGACUCCUGAGAAGAAUGAGAGGGGAAGUGCCUCCAGGCCGGGAUGCCAGCUAUAGCAGCGCCCUCCAGCAACGUCCUGGAGGAAGCACCUCAUUCGUGCCAAACUCACUAAUUCUAAUUCGUCAUCGUGAUUCUUCACAAUGAAGAAAAACUCCAAGCCAGUGCCUUCCUGGGGCAUGGCAGGCCUCCCUCUGGUCUGAGCAGGCAGCUGUGCCCAGACCUGGGCUCUUCCGAAGAUGGAGUCUUGCUCUGUUGCCCAGGCUCGUGGCGCGAUCUCAGCCACUGCACUGCGCUGCAACCUCCGCCUCCUGGGUUUAAGUGUCAAACCCGC